GACAGAGGGUGCAAGCGUUGUUCGGAAUCAUUGGGCGUAAAGGGCGCGUAGGCGGUUUUAUAAGUCGGAUGUGAAAUCCCAGGGCUCAACCGUGGAAGUGCAUCCGAAACUGUGAAACUUGAAUCCCAGAGAGGGCGGUGGAAUUCCCAGUGUAGAGGUGAAAUUCGUAGAUAUUGGGAGGAACACCAGUGGCGAAGGCGGCCGCCUGGAUGGAGAUUGACGCUGAGGCGCGAGAGCGUGGGGAGCAAACAGG
rnacentral:rRNA from 1 species